rnacentral:rRNA from 1 species
AUUGAACGCUGGCGGCAGGCCUAACACAUGCAAGUCGAACGAGUGGCGGAUGGGUGAGUAAUGUCUGGGAAACUGCCUGCUGGAGGGGGAUAACUACUGGAAACGGUAGCUAAUACCGCAUACCAUCAGAUGUGCCCAGAUGGGAUUAGCUAGUAGGUGGGGUAACGGCUCACCAAGGCGACGAUCCCUAGCUGGUCUGAGAGGAUGACCAGCCAAACUGUAACUGAGACACGGUCCAGACGCCUACGGGAGGCAGCAGUGGGGAAGAUUGCACAAUGGGCGGAAGCCUGAUGCAGCCAUGCCGCGUGUGUGAAGAAGGCCUUCGGGUUGUAAAGUACUUUCAGCGAGGAGGCGUUACUCGCAGAAGAAGCACCGGCUAACUCCGUGCCAGCAGCCGCGGUAAUUC